rnacentral:rRNA from 1 species
CUGCAGUCGAGCGGACUUUAAAAGCUUGCUUUCGAAGUUAGCGGCGGACGGGUGAGUAACACGUGGGCAACCUGCCUGUAAGACUGGGAUAACUUCGGGAAACCGGAGCUAAUACCGGAUAAUCCUUUUCACUCAUGUGAAAAGCUGAAAGACGGUUUCGCUGUCACUUACAGAUGGGCCCGCGGCGCAUUAGCUAGUUGGUGAGGUAACGGCUCACCAAGGCAACGAUGCGUAGCCGACCUGAGAGGGUGAUCGGCCACACUGGGACUGAACACGGCCCAGACUCCUACGGGAGGCAGCAGUAGGGAAUCUUCCGCAAUGGACGAAAGUCUGACGGAGCAACGCCGCGUGAGUGAUGAAGGUAAUCGGAUCGUAAAACUCUGUUGUUAGGGAAGAACACGUACAAGAGUAACUGCUUGUACCUUGACGGUACCUAACCAGAAAGCCACGGCUAACUACGUGCCAGCAGCCGCGGUAAUACGUAGGUGGCAAGCGUUGUCCGGAAUUAUUGGGCGUAAAGCGCGCGCAGGCGGUCCUUUAAGUCUGAUGUGAAAGCCCACGGCUCAACCGUGGAGGGUCAUUGGAAACUGGGGGACUUGAGUGCAGAAGAGAAGAGUGGAAUUCCACGUGUAGCGGUGAAAUGCGUAGAGAUGUGGAGGAACACCAGUGGCGAAGGACUCUUUGGUCUGUAACUGACGCUGA